CCUACGGGAGGCAGCAGUGAGGAAUAUUGGUCAAUGGACGAGAGUCUGAACCAGCCAAGUAGCGUGAAGGAUGACUGCCCUAUGGGUUGUAAACUUCUUUUAUAUGGGAAUAAAAUGUUCCACGUGUGGGAUUUUGUAUGUACCAUAUGAAUAAGGAUCGGCUAACUCCGUGCCAGCAGCCGCGGUAAUACGGAGGAUCCGAGCGUUAUCCGGAUUUAUUGGGUUUAAAGGGAGCGUAGGUGGAUUGUUAAGUCAGUUGUGAAAGUUUGCGGCUCAACCGUAAAAUUGCAGUUGAAACUGGCAGUCUUGAGUACAGUAGAGGAGGGCGGAAUUCGUGGUGUAGCGGUGAAAUGCUUAGAUAUAACGAAGAACUCCGAUUGCGAAGGCAGUUCACUGGACUGCAACUGACACUGAGGCUCGAAAGUGUGGGUAUCAAACAGGAUUAGAUACCCCGGUAGUC
rnacentral:rRNA from 1 species